GCUUUCUGAAAACUUUAAGAUAGAUGAAGGAGCGAGUCGAUAAUGCAAUUAUUUUGGCAUGGAUAAAGAUCACAACAAGGCGUUAGCAGAAGAGUUGCUCCUUUUCAAGAAUGGCUUCAUUAUGGGCACAACUGAUUCCUUCGAUAUUUGACGAUUUUUUAGUGAAGUUAUUGAAAAUUUUCAAACCUAAACAGGUAUUGAUAUU